AAUAGAUACUCAAGGUCUUAUAUAUACAUAUACAAGAAAUAACACAAGCGUAAUAAUACAACAGCUAAAGAGGUCAACGCAAAAACGAACGAUGGUCAACGGGUUGAUACAAAAUCACAGCAGAAAAUUAAGAAGAAUAACAGUAAAUAUUGCGAAUAUUAAUGUAUCAUCUUCUAAGUCACUUAUAUACAUUUAGGCAAAUCGAAUGUACUGAUCUACCUGUCUAAAUAUAUCGUUGACAAAAAGUAUCAUAUUCGAGAAAUUGGUGAAGGGAAGAAUUGCAUUUUGGGAUUCAAAUUUUCAAGUAUUUCCGCUUGGUCAAUCGAUUUUUCAAAUAUUCAGAAUUAAUCGUAUCAAGGAUAAUAAGGACAACAAAGGCAUAGAUUCUGUAGAAAUUUAAAAAAAACCGCAAUGUAUCAAGCAUUAUUAAGAAUUGUAAUUAUGACUCUGAUCUUUUUUCACGUAGACUGGAAUAUAUAAUAAUCUUCCUUCGACCAGUAACUACGCAUCGUUAUGCAAUAUAAAGCGAUUUUACCAAUUUUUUUACACAAGUAUAUAAUUUAAUAAUUAUUUUAUU